AGAGUUUGAUCCUGGCUCAGGAUGAACGCUGGCGGCGUGCUUAACACAUGCAAGUCGAGCGAAGCAGUUAAGUUGAUUUCUUCGGAUUGAUUCUUGACUGACUGAGCGGCGGACGGGUGAGUAACGCGUGGGUGACCUGCCCCAUACCGGGGGAUAAGAUCAUGGAAACGGCUGCUAAUACCGCAUAAUGCGCACAGAGGUGCAUGGCUCGGUGUGAAAAACUCCGGUGGUAUGGGAUGGGCCCGCGUCUGAUUAGGCAGGUGGCGGGGUGACAGCCCACCAAACCGAGCAAUCAGAAGCCGGCCUGAGAGGGCGACCGGCCACAUUGGGACUGAGACACGGCCCAAACUCCUACGGGAGGCAGCAGUGGGGAAUAUAGCACAAUGGGGGAAACCCUGAUGCGGCGACGCCGCGUGAGCGAAGAAGUAUUUCGGUAUGUAAAGCUCUAUCAUCACGGAAGAUAAUGACGGUACCUGAGUAAGAUGCCCCGGCUAACUACGUGCCAGCAGCCGGGGGAAUACGUAGGGGGCAAGCGUUAUCCGGGCUUUACUGGGUGGGAAGGGGAGCGAGGGGGGCAGGGCAAAGUCUGAUGGGAAAACCCAGGGCUGCACCCUGGGCAUGCAUGGGAAUCUGUCUGGCUCGUGUGCGGGAGAGGUAAGCGGAAUUCCUAGUGUAGCGGUGAAAUGCGUAGAUAUUAGGAAGAACACCACUGCCGAAGGCGGCUUACUGGACGGUAACUGACACUGAGGCACGAAUGCGUGGGGAGCAAACAGGAUUAGAUACCCUGGUAGUGCACUCCGUAAACGAUGAGUACUAGCUGUCGGAGGUUACCCCCUUCGGUGGCGCAGCUAACGCAUUAAGUACUCCGCCUGGGAAGUACGCUCGCAAGAGUGAAACUCAAAGGAAUUGACGGGGACCCGCACAAGUAGCGGAGCAUGUGGUUUAAUUCGAAGCAACGCGAAGAACCUUACCAGGUCUUGACAUCCCGAUGACCGGCCCGUAACGGGGCCUUCUCUUCGGAGCAUUGGAGACAGGUGGUGCAUGGUUGUCGUCAGCUCGUGUCGUGAGAUGUUGGGUUAAGUCCCGCAACGAGCGCAACCCUUAUCCUCAGUAGCCAGCAGGUAAAGCUGGGCAUUCUGUGGAGACUGCCAGGGAUAACCUGGAGGAAGGUGGGGAGGACGUCAAAUCAUCAUGCCCCUUAUGAUCUGGGCUACACACGUGCUACAAUGGCGUAAACAAAGGGAGGCAAAGCCGCGAGGUGGAGCAAAUCCCAAAAAUAACGUCUCAGUUCGGACUGCAGUCUGCAACUCGCCUGCACGAAGCUGGAAUCGCUAGUAAUCGCGAAUCAGAAUGUCGCGGUGAAUACGUUCCCGGGUCUUGCACACACCGCCCGUCA
rnacentral:rRNA from 1 species